GUAGGCGGCAGAGUAAGUAGAUAGUGAAAGCGUGAGGCUCAACCUCAUAAACAUUAUCUAAACUACUCAGCUAGAGAAUGGGAGAGGUCACUGGAAUUUCUUGUGUAGGAGUGAAAUCCGUAGAUAUAAGAAGGAACACCGAUGGCGUAGGCAGGUGACUGGCCCAUUUCUGACGCUCAGGCACGAAAGCGUGGGGAGCGACCGGGAUUAGAUACCCCGUUAGUCCACGCCGUAAACUAUGGAUGCUAGCUGUUAUGAGUAUCGACCCUCGUAGUAGCGAAGCUAACGCGUUAAGCAUCCCGCCUGUGGAGUACGAGCGCAAGCUUAAAACAUAAAGGAAUUGACGGGGACCCGCACAAGCGGUGGAGCGUGUUCUUUAAUUCGAUGGUAAGCGAAGAACCUUACCAGGGUUUGACAUCCUACUAAUCCGACCGAAAGGUUGGAGUGUCUUCGGACCGUAGUGACAGGUGUUGCAUGGCCGUCGUCAGCUCGUGUCGUGAGAUGCUUGGUUAAGUCCAUCAACGAGCGCAACCCUUGUAGUCAGUUGAAUUUUUCUGGCUAGACUGCCCCGGUAACGGGGAGGAAGGAGGGGAUGACGUCAGGUCAGUAUUACCCUUACACCCUGGGCUAGAAACACGCUACAAUGGCCGGUACAAAGGGCUGCCAAGUCGCGAGACGGAGCAAAUCCCAUCAAAGCCGGUCUCAGUUCGGAUAGCAGGCUGAAACUCGCCUGCUUGAAGUUGGAAUCGCUAGUAACGGUAGGUCAGCACACUACCGUGAAUACGUUCCCGGGUCUUGUACACACCGCCCGUCAAACCAUGAAAGUCACCAAUACCUGACGUCUUAGCUAGUCUAGGCCUAAGGUAGGGGGGAUAAUUGGGGUU
rnacentral:rRNA from 1 species